GACGAACGCUGGCGGCGUGCCUAAUACAUGCAAGUCGAACGCAGUGGGGACGGGUGAGUAACACGUGGGUAACCUCCCAUCAGAGGGGAUAACCCUUGGAAACAGGUGCUAAACCGAUACUGAUGGAUGGACCCGCGGUGCAUUAGCUAGUGGGAGAGGCAACGGCGCACCAAGGCCACGAGGCAUAGCCGGCCUGAGAGGAUGAUCGGCCACACGGGGACUGAGACACGGCCCAGACUCCGACGGGAGGCAGCAGUGGGGAAUCUUCGGCAAUGGACGAAAGUCUGACCGAGCAACGCCGCGUGAGUGAAGAAGGUUUUCGGAUCGUAAAACACUGUUGUUAGAGAAGCGGUAUCUAACCAGGAAGCCACGGCUAACUACGUGCCAGCAGCCGCGGUAAUUC
rnacentral:rRNA from 1 species